rnacentral:rRNA from 1 species
ACACCCAGUAAAGCCUAAAAAAGCAGAGAUUCCAUCUCGUACCUUUUGCAUCAUGAUUUAGCAAGUAUAACCAAGCAAAAAGAAUUUUAGUUUGGCCCCCCGAAACCAAGUGAGCUACUCCAAGACAACCUAAAAUAAGGGUAAACCCGUCUUCUGUGGCAAAAGAGUGGGAAGAGCUUUGAGUAGCGGUGACAGACCUAUCGAACUUGGUAAUAGCUGGUUGCUUGAGAAAUGAAUAGGAGUUCUGCUUCUUAUAUUCUCACCCCGCCCUGGUCGUUUGAGCCCUACCGCAGGUAAAAGAAGAUAAGAAAGUUAAUCAAAGGGGGUACAGCCCCUUUGAGACAAAGUACAACUUUUUCAGGAGGGUAAAGAUCAUAAUUUUUAAGGUGACUAUGUCUUGGUGGGCCUAAAAGCAGCCAUCCCAUUAGAAAGCGUUAAAGCUCUAACAUACCCUCCACCCCCGAUCCCGAUAACAAAUCUUAGCCCCCUAUACAUAUCAAGCCGUCCCAUACAAAUCUAUGGGAGCGAUUAUGCUAAAAUGAGUAAUCAGAGAGCCCCACCUCUCUCCCUGUACAUGUGUAAAUCGGAACGGACCCUCCACCGAAACUUAACGGCCCCAAAACAACAGCGGGUACUGAAUGAUCAGCAGUUAACAAGAAAAUCAUCCAAAAUAUUGCCGUUGACCCCACACCGGUGUACUUCAAAAGAAAGACCAAAAGGAAAAGAAGGAACUCGGCAAAACCACCAAAGCCUCGCCUGUUUACCAAAAACAUCGCCUCUUGCUAAUUACACAUAAGAGGUCCCGCCUGCCCUGUGACCCCCAGUUUAACGGCCGCGGUAUUUUGACCGUGCAAAGGUAGCGCAAUCACUUGUCCCUUAAAUGAGGACCUGUAUGAAUGGCACAACGAGGGCUUAACUGUCUCCUUUCCCCGGUCAAUGAAAUUGAUCUUCCCGUGCAGAAGCGGGAAUCCUAACAUAAGACGAGAAGACCCUAUGGAGCUUUAGACUCCAGAAUAGACCAUGUCAGCUACUCCCGUUAAACACAGUAGCAACUAUUGAGCCUCUAUUCUCUGUCUUUGGUUGGGGCGACCACGGGGAAGAAAAAAUCCCCCAUGUGGACCGGGAGCACCAAUCUCACUCCCACAACCACGAGCCACAGCUCUAAUGCGCAGAAUUUCUGACCAUAUAGAUCCGGCAACUAGCCGAUCAACGGACCGAGUUACCCUAGGGAUAACAGCGCAAUCCCCUUUAAGAGUCCCUAUCGACAAGGGGGUUUACGACCUCGAUGUUGGAUCAAGACAUCCUAAUGGUGCAGCCGCUAUUAAGGGUUCGUUUGUUCAACGAUUAAAGUCUU